CUGAUUCGUUCACCAAUGAAAAACUACAAGUAGGUCAGGGGGCACCUGUAUCAUAAGUUAUCAAUGUAGUGUUAUGAGGAGUGACUAAAAUCUCUUUCUCACACUGUUCAUUAUAUAUGGUGUUAAUAUACGUCUAGUCUAACGUUCUAAUAUUGAUCAUAUUCGAAAAUAAAAACAUAUAGGCCUAAUUGUGAUUCAAAUUUGCAAGGCAUACAAACAGCAUUGACUUCCGUGCAACGCUACGUAAUUUACCGCCUUUUUACAUUUAAAAUUGUAACGUCUUUUCAAACCGAACUCAGAAGAGCAGUGUGGAUUCAACGGAAGAAAAUGUGACUCACGGGGUGAACUCAAGAGACGAAGAACGUCAUACACAUCUGGGAUGGCACAAAGGUGAGUUAAUGAUGAGAGAAUUUUGUCCGCUGGGGGUCGGAGUUUUGACUCCGGUUCGCCCAGAGAGGAGCGGCUGUCGUCUGCCGGAGAGAGGAGUGUUCGAGGACCACGCGACGGUACAUCAGAGAACCGGUCGAGGAAGGCGAGGAUGACCUGACGGGGCGCAAAGCACGCCCCUCCGCAUGGAAAGGGUGGGGGGGGUGUAGGUCAUGACGGUGGCACCCCAGCCUGAGGUAACGCCGGAAGGAGUGUGGAGCGGAGGGGGGCGGUGCCGGGCUAGAAUGACGCACGCCCGGUCCCCAAUCGGCCUGAUGGGGCGCGCAAGGGAUUAAGGCAGCCAGUAAUGCUGGUUUGAGAGAGAGAGAAUU